GAGGCAUUGCGCUAAUUGAUACUACAUGCCCGUGAGGCUUAACCAUACAACACCCAAG
rnacentral:rRNA from 1 species